rnacentral:rRNA from 1 species
UACGUAGGGUGCAGGCGUUAAUCGGAAUUACUGGGCGUAAAGCGUGCGCAGGCGGUGAUGUAAGACAGAUGUGAAAUCCCCGGGCUCAACCUGGGAACUGCAUUUGUGACUGCAUCGCUGGAGUGCGGCAGAGGGGGAUGGAAUUCCGCGUGUAGCAGUGAAAUGCGUAGAUAUGCGGAGGAACACCGAUGGCGAAGGCAGCCCCCUGGGCUAAGAUUGACGCUCAUGCACGAAAGCGUGGGGAGCAAACAGG